rnacentral:rRNA from 1 species
CCUACGGGUGGCAGCAGUGAGGAAUAUUGGUCAAUGGACGAGAGUCUGAACCAGCCAAGUAGCGUGAAGGAUGACUGCCCUAUGGAUUGUAAACUUCUUUUAUAUGGGAAUAAAAUGUUCCACGUGUGGGAUUUUGUAUGUACCAUAUGAAUAAGGAUCGGCUAACUCCGUGCCAGCAGCCGCGGUAAUACGGAGGAUCCGAGCGUUAUCCGGAUUUAUUGGGUUUAAAGGGAGCGUAGGUGGAUUGUUAAGUCAGUUGUGAAAGUUUGCGGCUCAACCGUAAAAUUGCAGUUGAAACUGGCAGUCUUGAGUACAGUAGAGGUGGGCGGAAUUCGUGGUGUAGCGGUGAAAUGCUUAGAUAGCACGAAGAACUCCGAUUGCGAAGGCAGUUCACUGGACUGCAACUGACACUGAGGCUCGAAAGUGUGGGUAUCAAACAGGAUUAGAUACCCCAGUAGUC